rnacentral:rRNA from 1 species
UACGUAGGGUGCAAGCGUUAAUCGGAAUACUGGGCGUAAAAGCGUGCGCAGGCGGUUUUGUAAGUCAGAUGUGAAAUCCCCCGGGCUUAACCUGGGAACUGCGUUUGAAACUACAAGGCUAGAGUGUGGCAGAGGGGGGGUGGAAUUCCACGUGUAGCAGUGAAAUGCGUAGAGAUGUGGAGGAACACCGAUGGCGAAGGCAGCCCCCCUGGGUUAACACUGACGCUCAAGGCACGGAAAGCGUGGGGAGCAAACAGG